UGUUAAGAAUUCAGAAUGUGCUUUCUCAUAUAUUAAAAAAGACUCUUUGAAUAUCAUCAAAGAGAUUGAGCAAUUUUUAUUCCUUUUAAAAGUACUGAUUGGGGAUCUCUGGUCUCUGGCUGGUGUAUGUGUGUGUGUGUGUGUGUGUCGGGGGGCCGUACCACAAGGGCCUCUCUCCCUACACUUGGUUGGUGCCAGGUCCACUUUCUGAAACCCUGGCACGCAGGGCGAGCCUUGCUUGUGUGGGCAGCUUUGGCACAGAGUCCUGGCACAGUGGAUGAAGAGAAGCGUCAGCACUUUUCAAACAACUAACUAGCAGCAGAAGGCGGGCGCCAACCUCCAAAGUGGUCUUUGUGGGAGAGAGGUCUGUGUCUGGGCAAACAACCUGCUUGUAGAGGCUGGAAGAGAAAAAGGCCAAAGACACUUGAAAAGAAUGGGGCUUGGCCCCCAGCUAGAGGGGAGACGGCUAGUUUUCAGAGAACAAAGGGGAGGGAAGAAGAGAGAUGUUCCUUGAACAUCUACUAUGUGAGAGCCACCACCCAGGGCACGGCACCUGCCCGUGUUGGAAAGAGGAUGCAACCAUCCCCAACAGGGAAGGGUGGAAAAUGCUGCACUGUGCAUGGACUCACAAGGAAGAUACAUAAUGUACAGCCGAAUCUACAGUCUCCUAUUUUGUCAGCUGCUUGUGUUGAUUAAAACUUCAAUAAAGAUCCUGUGAUAAA